UACGUAGGGUGCAGGCGUUUAAUCGGAAUUACUGGGCGUAAAGCGUGCGCAGGCGGUCUGCUAAGAGAGGUGUGAAAUCCCUCGGCUUAACCGGGGAACUGCGUCUGAUACUGGAUGGCUUGAAUCCGGGAGAGGGAUGCAGAAUUCCAGGUGUAGCGGUGAAAUGCGUAGAUAUCUGGAGGAACACCGGUGGCGAAGGCGGGGUCUCUGGGCCCGUAACUGACGCUGAGGAGCGAAAAGCGUGGGGGAGCGAACAGG
rnacentral:rRNA from 1 species